rnacentral:tRNA from 1 species
GCGCCCGCUGUGUAGCGCGGGUCACCACUAGAGCCGGAGCGCUUCGGGUAUGUAGGACGCUCGUUGAGCGUCGGUCUACGGAACCGAAGGUCACAGGUUCGAAUCCUGUCGGGCGCG